GGGGCUGCAAUGGUUUCGACGGGGUAUGAGGAGGGUGACUGAAGCCUGCUCGGUAAGAGCAAAUCCGUAACUGCGAACAACAUCGUUCGUUUCUCCCGUCAGCCUGCCCUCGUGGCUGCCUGACCCUAAUAAGGGAGAUGGGGUGAGGUCAGCCUUAUCACCCAAAUGACCCAUGGGGGCUGCGAGGCCCCUUUAACU
rnacentral:tmRNA from 2 species